rnacentral:rRNA from 1 species
UACGUAGGUGGCAAGCGUUGUCCGGAAUUAUUGGGCGUAAAGCGCGCGCAGGCGGUCCUUUAAGUCUGAUGUGAAAGCCCACGGCUCAACCGUGGAGGGUCAUUGGAAACUGGGGGACUUGAGUGCAGAAGAGGAAAGCGGAAUUCCACGUGUAGCGGUGAAAUGCGUAGAGAUGUGGAGGAACACCAGUGGCGAAGGCGGCUUUCUGGUCUGUAACGGACGCUGAGGCGCGAAAGCGUGGGGAGCAAACAGG